rnacentral:miRNA from 10 species
GGUACACUGAAUUGCACCAGC